UAUAUAGUUUUAUAGGUAAAACACAAAUUACUAAAUCAAACAAAAAAUUGACAAAAAAAUUUUCAUGGGGUUUGCUAAACUUUUUUUGUGAGAAGACCUUUCUGGAUAAAUUUAUCAUGAAUGCAGGUAUUUGUUACAUAUUUAAGUACCUUGCUGGUAUAUUUUAAUUUUUAACUUUAUGAACAUUGCAUUUUUUUUCAUUUGUUAUUUUUACCCCAAAUUCGCCUUACGGGGAAGAGUAAUAAAAAAAAUUGUUUAAUUAAUGAUCUAAUUGAUUUUAAUGGUACCCAAGUAUCAAAAACAGAUGUUUUACAGCUGUGCCUUUAUUUUCUGAUGAUGUAAUUUAUCUUUUAGGUUAAGACUGUUUAGUUACAGGUCAUUUUUAAGAAUAUGUUGCUGAAUUUAGUUUAGAUCAAGUCAAGGUGUCAUUUAGAUUUUCAAAAGCCUUUAUAACUUAGUUCAAUCAAUGGUAAUACUCUGAUUACUUCCUGUGCUUUA